AGGGCGCACGGUGGAUGCCUUGGCACCAGGAACCGAUGAAGGACGUGGGAGGCCACGAUAGUCCCCGGGGAGCCGUCAACCAGGCUUUGAUCCGGGGGUUUCCGAAUGGGGAAACCCGGCAGUCGUCAUGGGCUGUCACCCGCUGCUGAACACAUAGGCAGUGUGGAGGGAACGAGGGGAAGUGAAACAUCUCAGUACCCUCAGGAAGAGAAAACAACCGUGAUUCCGGGAGUAGUGGCGAGCGAAACCGGAUGAGGCCAAACCGUAUGCGUGUGAUACCCGGCAGGGGUUGCGCAUGCGGGGUUGUGGGAUCUCUUUUUCAUAGUCUGCCGGCUGUGAGACGAGUCAGAAACCGUAUGGAUAGGCGAAGGACAUGCGAAAGGUCCGGCGUAGAGGGUAAGACCCCCGUAGCUGAAAUUCAUGCGGCUCGUUUAAGAGACACCCAAGUAGCACGGGGCCCGAGAAAUCCCGUGUGAAUCUGGCGGGACCACCCGCUAAGCCUAAAUAUUCCCUGGUGACCGAUAGCGGAUAGUACCGUGAGGGAAUGGUGAAAAGUACCGCGGGAGCGGAGUGAAAUAGUACCUGAAACCGUGUGCCUACAAGCCGUGGGAGCGUCGGACAUCAGCUUGCUGGUGUCUCGUGACUGCGUGCCUUUUGAAGAAUGAGCCUGCGAGUUUGCGGUGUGUUGCGAGGUUAACCCGUGUGGGGAAGCCGUAGCGAAAGCGAGUCCGAACAGGGCGAUUCAGUAGCGCGCUCAAGACCCGAAGCGGAGUGAUCUAGCCAUGGGCAGGUUGAAGCGGAGGUAAGACUUCGUGGAGGACCGAACCCACCAGGGUUGAAAACCUGGGGGAUGACCUGUGGUUAGGGGUGAAAGGCCAAUCAAACUCCGUGAUAGCUGGUUCUCCCCGAAAUGCAUUUAGGUGCAGCGUCGUGUGUUUCUUGCCGGAGGUAGAGCACUGGAUAGGCGAUGGGCCCUACCGGGUUACUGACCUUAGCCAAACUCCGAAUGCCGGUAAGUGAGAGCGCGGCAGUGAGACUGUGGGGGAUAAGCUCCAUGGUCGAGAGGGAAACAGCCCAGAGCAUCGACUAAGGCCCCUAAGCGUACGCUAAGUGGGAAAGGAUGUGGAGUCGCAGAGACAACCAGGAGGUUGGCUUAGAAGCAGCCACCCUUGAAAGAGUGCGUAAUAGCUCACUGGUCAAGUGAUUCCGCGCCGACAAUGUAGCGGGGCUCAAGCGUACCGCCGAAGUCGUGUCAUUGCAGUACAUACCCCCAACGGGGACUGUGAUGGGUAGGGGAGCGUCGUGUGCCGGGUGAAGCAGCCGCGGAAGCGAGUUGUGGACGGUUCACGAGUGAGAAUGCAGGCAUGAGUAGCGAUACACACGUGGGAAACGUGUGCGCCGAUUGACUAAGGGUUCCUGGGUCAAGCUGAUCUGCCCAGGGUAAGUCGGGACCUAAGGCGAGGCCGACAGGCGUAGUCGAUGGACAACCGGUUGAUAUUCCGGUACCCGCUUUGAAACGCCCAAUAUCGAAUCCUCUGAUGCUAAGGCCGUGAAGCCGUUCCGGACCCUUCGGGGAAAGGAAAGUGGUGGAGCCGCCGGCCCAAGGUGGUAGUAGGUAAGCGAUGGGGUGACGCAGGAAGGUAGUCCAGCCCGGGCGGUGGUUGUCCCGGGGUAAGGGUGUAGGCCGUGUGAUAGGCAAAUCCGUCACACAUCAAGGCUGAGACCUGAUGCCGAGCCGAUUGUGGUGAAGUGGAUGAUCCUAUGCUGUCGAGAAAAGCCUCUAGCGAGUUUCAUGGCGGCCCGUACCCUAAACCGACUCAGGUGGUCAGGUAGAGAAUACCGAGGCGUUCGGGUGAACUAUGGUUAAGGAACUCGGCAAAAUGCCCCCGUAACUUCGGGAGAAGGGGGGCCACAUCCGGUGAGGGGACUUGCUUCCUGAGCUGGGGGUGGCCGCAGAGACCAGCGAGAAGCGACUGUUUACUAAAAACACAGGUCCGUGCGAAGCCGUAAGGCGAUGUAUACGGACUGACGCCUGCCCGGUGCUGGAACGUUAAGGGGACCGGUUAGCUGACUUUCGGGUCGGCGAAGCUGAGAACUUAAGCGCCAGUAAACGGCGGUGGUAACUAUAACCAUCCUAAGGUAGCGAAAUUCCUUGUCGGGUAAGUUCCGACCUGCACGAAUGGCGUAACGACUUCUCGACUGUCUCAACCAUAGGCCCGGUGAAAUUGCACUACGAGUAAAGAUGCUCGUUUCGCGCAGCAGGACGGAAAGACCCCGGGACCUUUACUACAGUUUGAUAUUGGUGUUCGGUUCGGCUUGUGUAGGAUAGGUGGGAGACUGUGAAGCUUGGACGCCAGUUCAGGUGGAGUCGUCGUUGAAAUACCACUCUGGUCGUGCUGGAUGUCUAACCUGGGUCCGUGAUCCGGAUCAGGGACAGUGUCUGAUGGGUAGUUUAACUGGGGCGGUUGCCUCCUAAAGGGUAACGGAGGCGCCCAAAGGUUCCCUCAGCCUGGUUGGCAAUCAGGUGUUGAGUGUAAGUGCACAAGGGAGCUUGACUGUGAGACCGACGGGUCGAGCAGGGACGAAAGUCGGGACUAGUGAUCCGGCGGUGGCUUGUGGAAGCGCCGUCGCUCAACGGAUAAAAGGUACCCCGGGGAUAACAGGCUGAUCUUCCCCAAGAGUCCAUAUCGACGGGAUGGUUUGGCACCUCGAUGUCGGCUCGUCGCAUCCUGGGGCUGGAGUCGGUCCCAAGGGUUGGGCUGUUCGCCCAUUAAAGCGGUACGCGAGCUGGGUUUAGAACGUCGUGAGACAGUUCGGUCCCUAUCCGCUGUGCGCGUAGGAAUAUUGAGAAGGGCUGUCCCUAGUACGAGAGGACCGGGACGGACGAACCUCUGGUGUGCCAGUUGUUCUGCCAAGGGCAUGGCUGGUUGGCUACGUUCGGGAGGGAUAACCGCUGAAAGCAUCUAAGCGGGAAGCCUGCUUCGAGAUGAGUAUUCCCACCUCCUUGA
rnacentral:rRNA from 1 species